rnacentral:lncRNA from 7 species
GGCUGCAGAGAUGAGCAAUUGAGAGUGUCUGCACGUUAUUGAUUGCAGCUGCUGUUUUUGCAGUUGGAGGUGAUGGUAAGGUUCCCAGCAGCAGCCAGUAACAGGUGGACAGAGAGUGAUGUGGCUUGAAGGCACAAAUAUCCAUCUCUCUCUGAAUCUGCUUAAAUUAAAUCACUGCUUCAGAGAACUUCAACUUUAGGGAAUGGCUUCUGAUGUUCUGUGACUCCAGCUUGUCUCCUCACGUGCAACAAGAGACCAGUGCUCAAGUGAGAUAUAUACCAUUUCCCACAGAGAUGAGUAGGUGUUGUAAGGUCCCCAGCAGCGAGCAGAAUAUCUCCAAGGGAAGAACGAGUGCAUUUUCAAUCCUCACAGCAUCAAAUCACACCCAUUCAGAAAUGCAGAGGAGCCAACAGAAGAUUUCUCCCAGGUGUAUUGUUUGCAUCUCUGAUUACAGAUGCUAAUGUGGUGGACGGGCUGAUAAAGAGGAGCUCCUGUAAGCCAACAUCAGCUUCUAAUGAUGCUUCGGUUUCUCAGCUCCACAAGUCUAGUUAAUAAAGGAUGUGAAAU